UAGAACGAAAGGGCAAGAGAAAGCUGAAUCUGCUCACUCUUCUGGAGCUGAGACUUCUCUUGCCCUAGCACAUUAAAACUCUAGGUGUUCUGACCUUUGAACACUGGAACUUAACCCAGCAUCCCCUUACCUCCUCAGGAUCUCAGGACUUUGGACUUGAACUAAGCCAUGCUACCAGCUUCCCUGGUUCUCCAGCUUGUAUAUGGUAUAUCAUGGAAUUUCUCAGUCUCCAAUAUCGUAUCACUGAUGAUUUCUACAAUACUUUUGCAGAACAAUUAACCCUCUACUUACUGGUGACUUAGUGAGAGUUUGUGUAUUUGGAUCCCUGAAUUUUUCUGGGUAAGUCAGCCUUUAAUUUAAAUAUCUUUUUCAAUCUUUAAUGGAUUCCUUCUACCAUGAAAUAGAGGUAUCUGCUAAAAAGAGCACCUCAGUUACUCCCUCCAGCUGUGCAGGAAGGGCUCAUUUCUUGUCCAAUGGCAUAUGAUUUCUGAAAGAAUCUCUUAUUUUAUAGCAAUCACGUGCUGAAUAUCAUCAUGCCAUUACUUACACAAUUGAGAACAGACUGCUACGUGUCUUCAUAAAGACACUUUGUGAGAAUUUUAACCCUAUGAAUUCCAAAAUUGUGAGGAUUAAAAAAAAAAUUGAACAGCACUGGCUCUGGUCCCCUGGGGACAUCAAGAGUACUUAAAAAAUUAGAGUCUCUCCUCGACUACCUGGCUAUAGGUUGUUGCUGUGGCGUGAUUGCUCUUUUCUAAACCUAUAUAUUAGCAAGGCUUUAUUAAGAAAAAAACUGUUUGUUUUUUUCUUUAAAAGCAACAGAGAAAAUCACAGUAGAUAACAGAGGGCAGAACCAGGAAUUCCUUUUUUUUCUCUCUCUCUUUUCAAUUCCUUUACUUUUUUUUCUUUAAUUUAAAUGAGAUCCUGAGGAGACUACUUGUACUCACAGUCCAUUGUAUAUGUAACUCAUCCUUUUACAUGUUUACUUUGAUAUUAUUUCCAAUUCUACACCCAAAAUGUUUAUAUCUCCAAAAUAAUCAUGGGAAUCUUUCCAUUCUGAUUUU
rnacentral:lncRNA from 1 species